CAACCAAUACUUGUAUUAUUUUUAUUGGUAAGUACUCGUACAUGUAUGUUAUUUUGAUGCAUGUAUGCAACGUGUAAUGCCCAAUCGGGGUAUUUAGGACAUCCGUUACCUCAAACCUCUCCCUUGUGUUAGGAACACUUAUUUUGAAAUAUACUACAAGUUAUUGUUAACUAUAAUCUACCUACUGUACUAUCAAAUACUAGAACUUAUUCUUGUUUUUUUUUUUUUGACGGAGUUUCGCUCUUGUUACCCAGUCUGGAGUGCAAUGGCGCGAUCUCGGCUCACCGCAACCUCUGCCUCCUGGGUUCAGGCAAUUCUCCUGCCUCAGCCUCCUGAGUAGCUGGGAUUACAGGCACGCACCACCAUGCCCAACUAAUUUUUUGUAUUUUUAGUAGAUAUGGGGUUUUACCAUGUUGACCAGGAUGGUCUCGAUCUCUUGACCUCGUGAUCCACUCGCCUCGGCCUCCCAAAGUGCUGGGAUUACAGGCUUGAGCCACCGCGCCCGGCCUAGAACUUAUUCUUGUAUCAACUGUAUUUUUGUAUCCAUUAACCAACUUUUCUAAAUUUUCUACUCCCCCCUUCCCUACCCAGCCUCUGGGAACACCUUUUUACUCUGCCUCCAUGAGAUCCGUUUUUUGGUUUUUUUUUUUAGGUCUCACAUAUGAGUGAGAACAUUCCAUAUUUGUCUUUCUGUGCUUGGCCUAUUUUGGGUUGCUGAAUUUUCUUAUUUCCCCAGAAGAGGGAUGCCAUGCCCAGCAACUCCCAGAUAUUCUUUUGAGAAUUCCCUAUGCAGUCUAUCACCUCAUAAUUCUGCCAAAGGAUUCGGGAGAAGGGCAUAUUGUCUCUAAAGCCUCCGCUUAUGCAAACCAGCUUUGUAGAAGAGGGAUAAGGAGAAUUGAAGCAGAUAGCACUUGUACAUGGUGAUAGUAAAU
rnacentral:lncRNA from 1 species